AGAGUUUGAUCAUGGCUCAGAUUGAACGCUGGCGGCAUGCCUUACACAUGCAAGUCGAGCGGCAGCGCGGGGGCAACCCUGGCGGCGAGCGGCGGACGGGUGAGUAAUACAUCGGAACGUGUCCUGUCGUGGGGGAUAACCAGUCGAAAGACUGGCUAAUACCGCAUGAGAUCUCACGAUGAAAGCGGGGGACCGCAAGGCCUCGCGCGACUGGAGCGGCCGAUGUCAGAUUAGCUAGUUGGCGGGGUAAAAGCCCACCAAGGCUACGAUCCGUAGCUGGUUUGAGAGAACGACCAGCCACACUGGGACUGAGACACGGCCCAGACUCCUACGGGAGGCAGCAGUGGGGAAUUUUGGACAAUGGGGGCAACCCUGAUCCAGCCAUGCCGCGUGUGUGAAGAAGGCCUUCGGGUUGUAAAGCACUUUCGGCCGGAACGAAAUCGCGCGGGUGAACAUCCCGCGUGGAUGACGGUACCGAAGAAGAGACCCG
rnacentral:rRNA from 1 species